rnacentral:lncRNA from 1 species
UACCUUUGAUCCCUAGGAUAAGACUCAAAAUUAUUGCUUAUAGAACUGAUCUUGUGGUGAUGAAUUCCCUCAGUUUAUCCUUAUUUGAAAAAAGUAUUUAUUUUUACUUCAUUUUUAAAAGAUAGUUCUGUUGAUGAGUUCAGUCGUCAUGGCUGGCAGGAUCUCAUGCAUUUGCUGCUGGCCUGGGAGUUUACUAUUAAGAACUAUGCUGGAAGUCUAAUGGGAAUUUUCUUGCAUUUGUCUUGACACAGGGAUCUUCAUGUUUUUUAUUCUUUCUCAGAAUCUUGAGCAUGACAUAUGUCAAUGACCAUGACAUGUGACAAUGAUGGCCCAUUUGGAGUAAGAAUGGCAAAGAUCAACAAACAACUAGCAACAAAUGUUGGCAAGGACUUGAAGAAAGCAUAACCUUCAUUCACUGUUGAGCACAGGACCGAGACACAGAAAGCGGAGUGUCCCACAGUAAAUUACAAAUACAUAACUACUGGCAGAAGCAGUCUUUGAAGACAAGCACCCGGAUUUUGCUGUUAACUUUUUUCCUCUAUGCUAUGCCAAUUCUUUGCACAAUCAGACUUUUGGUUGAUUCUGCAUCUUAGUAUGUAAGGCAAAACUGUUGUGAAAUAGUACCUCAGGGUAUCUUGAUGUUCAAUUAUAUAAGUGUGUCCUAACAUUUAUUCCACAAAAUCCCAGUGCUAUGGUUUGGAGGUUUUUGUGUCCUUCAGGGUUCAUUCUUUGUUUCCAAGCAUCAUGGUGUUUGAAUAUGAUGCAGACUUUUAAGAGAAAGAAACUAGUGAGAAGCCCUUGUGCCACUGGGUUAUGGCUUUGGAAGGAACCAAUGUACUUCUCUUGGGUGUCUGUUAGGGCUCAUGAAAAG